UACGAAGGGGGCGAGCGUUAUUCGGAAUCACUGGGCGUAAAGCGUGCGUAGGCUGUUCUGCAAGUCAGGAGUGAAAGCCCAAGGCUCAACCUUGGAAGCGCUCUUGAAACUGCAGGACUAGAAUUUGGGAGAGGAUAGCGGAAUUGUCAGUGUAGCAGUGAAAUGCGUAGAUAUUGACAGGAACACCAGUGGCGCAAGCGGCUAUCUGGACCAACUUGACGUGAGGCACGAAAAGCGUGGGGAUCAAACAGG
rnacentral:rRNA from 1 species